UAAAGUGCGAAAUGUAAUGCGAUUUGCAUGAAUCUGUGAGUCAUUUAAUCUUUGAACGCAACUUGCACCCAUUCCUGGGUAUGUUUGUUUGAGACGGCAAAACCGUGGAUCUAACCGGUUUGGCCAUGACUUGGGUCUUGGCUCAAAAGCAGCAAGAUAGCAGCAAGCUGAUAACGGAUGAUGGGUUUGCUAGAGCUAGAGACGCAAGUCUUUUCUAUGCAAAUCCAUCGCAAUAUCUUUUAUAUCCGUCUCAAAUCAAGCAAGAUUACCCGCUGAACUUAA
rnacentral:misc_RNA from 1 species